AAAUCAUUGAGAGCUUAGUGCUCAUGAGCGACAAAACACCACGCUGUGCCAAUCACAGGUCUCUCUGAGACCAUAUGAUGCAAAUAGUGGAGAUUUACGCCACUGUUUCCUGGAAGUGUGUCCAGUGGCUGUCUGAGUGACCGCCACUAGAGUCAAGGUAACUCUUCAUAGAAAACUUUGCCAUUCUGCAGGAAUUUUCUGCUGCAGUGUUAAUACGGGGUGACAUGGCACUCAGAC